UUCAGUUACGCUCCCUAAUACAAGCGCUUCCAUGGCCACAAGCCUUCGCUGACAGUGUUGAAGAUGUCGAAGACGUUGAUCACGCGGCGAAGUAUUUUGGAGACCACUUAUUCAGCUCCAGUUUUUAGGAGAUUUCAAUUUCAACAAGAAAUAGUUAUGGGUACGAUAUUUACCAAUUCAAUCACCUGUGCUGGUUAUACUAGUUACAGAAAUAGACAUAAAGGUUCAAGCUUUGACAAAUUUUUAGGAGAGAAAUGUAAAUAUGGGUCAUUUACUAAUGUUGAUGAUGCCUUAGUUUCGUUUGAUCGGUUGCUUCAUACAAAUCCUCCUCCUUCUAUUAUGCAAUUUAAUCAGUUAUUAUCUGCACUUGUAAGAAUGAAGCAUUAUCACACUGUGGUUUCCUUGGUUGGAAAAAUGGAGUUAUUAGGAAUCUCAUUUAAUGUUUAUACUUUUACUAUUUUGAUUAAUUGCUUUUGCCAUAUGCACCUUGUAGAUUUUGGGUUCUCAAUUUUAGGGAAAAUUCUCAAAUUUGGAUUUCAGCCCAGCAUUGUAACAUUGAAUACCUUAAUUAAUGGACUAUGCACAGAGGGUAAAGUUGUUCAAGCGGUGGAACUUUUAGAUGAGAUAGUAGCCAGAGGGUAUCAACCUACUGUAUAUACUCAUACUAAUAUAGUUAAUGGUCUGUGUAAAAUUGGGAAAACCAGCUUGGCUAUUGGUUGGUUGAAAAAAAUGGUUGAGAGUGGUUGUGAGCCUGAGGUGAUGGCGUAUAGUACAAUCAUUGAUAGUCUUUGCAAGGAUAGGCUAGUUACUGAGGCUUUAGACCUCUUUUCUCAAAUGAGGAGUAUAGGCAUUUCACCUACCGUUGUCACUUACAACUCAUUAAUUUAUGGUAUGAGCAAUUUGGGUCAAUGGAAGCAAGCAGCAGCUUUAUUCAAAGAAAUGCGACAGUGGAACAUAGCUCCAGAUAUAUUUACUUUUAGUAUAUUGGUUGAUGCACUUUGUAAGGAAGGAAAUGUUUUGGAGGCCAAAGGUAUGUUUGGUAAGAUGAUUCAAAGGGGCAUUGAGCCUGAUUUAUUCAUCUACAGCUCCUUAAUCCGUGGUCUCUGCAAUUCUAGCCAAUGGAAGGAAUCGACCACUUUGUUGAAUGAAAUGAUCAAGCGAAACAUCCCUCCAGAUGUUGUUACAUUCAGUACAUUGGUUGAUGUGUUCUGCAAGAAAGGAAUGCUUUCAGAGGCUCAAAUUAUUGUCGAUAUGAUGAUUCAAAGAGGCUUAAAGCCCAAUGUUGUCACUUACAAUUCAUUGAUAGAUGGAUAUUGUCUCCAAAGCCAAAUGGAUGAGGCCCGAAGAGUAUUUGAUGCAAUGGUCAGCAAGGGUUGUAUACCUGAUGUUCUUAGUUACAACAUCUUGAUUAAAGGAUACUGUAUGAGUGGAAGGAUAGAUGAGGCAAGUCAACUUUUUGAUGAAAUGCCACAAAAUGGAUUGAUUCCUAACUUAAUUACUCACACUACUCUAAUACGUGGCUUAUGCCAUACAGGGAGACCUCAUGCAGCAGAAGAGCUUUUCAGUAAAAUGAGUUCUCAUGGCUGUCCUCCAGAUAUAAUAACUUACUCAACUUUGCUUGAUGGCUUUUGCAAACAAGGGCACCUUGAUGAAGCACUGGCGCUAUUUCAAUCUAUGAAAAAAAGCCAGUCGAAACCUAAUAAUGUGAUCUAUAAUAUCCUGAUUGGCGGCAUGUGCAAGGCUGGGAGGCUUAAAGAUGCAGAGGAACUGAUUUCUUGUCUUUCAGUUGAAGGGUUUUAGGCUAAUAUUUGAACAUCUAGUUUAUUAAUAUGUGGCCUUGAGAAGAAUUAAAAGAUGAAUAAUAUAGAUUUCCCCAAAAAUGGAGGAAGAUGACUGCUGAACUAAUAGCUGCUCUUUGUCAUGAAAUGGCCAGUGCAUGCAUUUCUGCAAAUUCCACAAUGACCGCCUUGGUCGUGGAGCUUCUGUCAAGUACUAUAUAUUGUUCUGAAGAUGCUUCAAGGGUUUUCUCAAGGCUCUCAAGGUGCAUAUGUGAAGUGAGAUAUUUAUAUUAAUGAAUCUUCAAUGGAUACAGAAAACUGCAAGGAGCUUCAAAUAUGUUGUAGCCAUUUACUGAAGCAAAUGUCUACAUACGCCACUGAGGCAAAAUCUUGAAUGAUAUAGCCAACUAAUUUUGUUGGAGAGAAUUCAAGAUCUUUUGCAUUGACAGGAUCUCUACUUAUAUAGGAAACCUGGGCACUUACCUUGAAAUUGUUUUCCAGCAACUUGACGUAAGUAUCUCAAAUUUCUUAUGUAAAUAGUUCUGUACCAAGAAUGUGAUGACUCUGGUGAGUAUCAAUAGUUCUUCUAUAUAUGGUUGUCCUGUGUUGAAUUCAUUUUGAAAUUUGAGCUCGAAAUAUCUUAAUAUGAUGACAUCUGACUAAAAUUCCCAAUUCUGAUGUGAAACUGCUCACUUCAGUUAUCUUGUUCUCAUAUCAGUAUCCUGCUUUUGAAGGUUAUGUAUUGUCAUAAAAUGUGCAGCUUUCAUUUUGGAUUCAACAAAUUUGCUCUCUGAUAUGGUUAAAACACUAGAUGCCAGGAAUUUCGAACUCCUUGCACACAAAGAAUUCAUGUUCAGAAAGUUAAAGACAAGCCAUGUGUCAGUUUGCAACUUUCUUGGGGGACAUCAAAGGUGAUGAUGAUGAUAAUAAUGUUGCAGCAAGAAUUUUAGGAGCUACUUCAGCUUCAGAUUUAAGGAGCUUGAGCAAGAAGUGCAAAUGGACUUUUCAAACAACAGUUUAUCAGGCAGCAUAUCAACAAGUUUGGAUUCACUUAUUGGACCCAAAUUGUUAAGGCAAAGGAACAAUAGGCUUUUCUUGGGUCCCUUCAGCCUUACAAAACUGCACACAAGUAGAAACUCUUAAUCUUGGAGAUAAUGAGUAUUCAGGAAAGGUUCCUGAAUGGAUUGCAGAGAAGCUCCAACCUGUGCUGAUUAUAAGCCUGAGAUCAAAUUUGCUUACGGGAGAAAUUCCAUCUAAUUUAUGCAGUCUGUACUCUCUUCAUAUGCUGGACCUAGCACAAAAUGACUUUUCAAGAGAUAUUCCAAACUGCAUUGGCAAUUUGAGUGGAAUGACAACUGUUCUUGACCGUGCAAGGUAUGAAGGACGGUUGUGGAUAGUGGCAAAAAGUAGAGAAUACUUUUAUGAUGGCACCUUUUAUCUCGUAAACAGCGUAGAUCUAUCAGACAAUAACCUAUUUGGAGAAAUGCCAAAAGGUUGAUAGAUCUCUCAAGAUUAGGAACUUCGAACUUGUCCAUGAAUCAAUUGAAUGUUAAAAUACCAGCUGAUAUUGAUAACUUACAAAGACUCAAAACUUAAGAUCUUUCAAUUAACAAUGUUUGUGGUACAAUCCCUCUAAGCAUGACCUCCAUUAUUUCUCUUAAUCAUUUGAACUUCCCAUUUGAGUGUCCGAUCAGAUCCAACCAUUUAUGGAGGAAAUCCUGCACCAUAUGACCUUCCAGUACCCACAAGGUGCAAUGGCGACAAAGAUGAAAAACCUGAUCCUCUACUAAAAGGAAUCUAUGAUGAAGAAAAAGAAGAUAGAGAUGAAAAUGAAAUGUUCUGGUUUUACAUAAGCAUAGUUCCAAGGUUUGCUGUAGGGCUUUGGGUCAUCUGUGGAACUCUAAUAGCAAUGAAGACAUCGAGACAAUCCUUUUUCUAGUUCAUUGAAUGACACGAGAGACAGGUUGUUUGCUGCUUUUUCUGUCACAUUUGCUCGCUUGAAAAGAUCGUAAGCAGUAAGAUACUUGGGAGGGGAGAUAACACUAGAAGGUGCUGUAGAAUACAGGUAUGUGAAAGCUUUGUUAUACUGGAAGUAGAUGUACUCUAUAUUGAUUGAAAUAAAUCAUUCUGAGAAGUCUUUGUCAAAUGAUAGGCUAGGACAUGUUAUCAGCAAGACUAAGUGUAUAUAGAAAAUUUUGAGUAUAAGUGUUACACAAAAGAUUUCACAAAAUCCAAGAUCAUGAAAUUUCCUUUUUGCUAUUCUUGAGAACUUUCUUUGACCUUGUUGUUCUGAAUGUCUGACCGUUGCAUGAAUGUGAGAAAGAACUAGAAUAUAAUGUGGAUGAGCUAAUGAGUUUUCAUCUAAUAGUACUGUAAAGUUUCGAGUUUGAAUCCCAGUCAGAGCUAAUUAACUGAAAAUAGAUACUCUAAAUGACAGCCAUCGGAUUGGAUCAGCUGUACAGAUGCUAAUCCAAGGGACCUAAAUUAUUCUUCUAGAUUAUGGGAAUCUGCAGAUGAUAUUCAAUUUAUUGACAUCUCACAACUGCUUAUGCACCUAACUCUAAUGAAAACUGACUCAAUUUAAAAGAAAUAUGGUUAGCAAGGUAAAGUAUAACUUCUGAUUUAACACCUUUGGAUCUUUGCUUAUGUUUUGUUAUUCAGUACCUUCUAUAUUUUUCCUUUUCAGGUCCAAGCAAUGAUGAACACGACACAAAGCAGUAUGUAUUUGAUGCAAAUAAACAAUAACAAAAUACAAUGUACAGUAUACUGGUUUAGACAUUGACAUGUAUAAGACAAAAGGCAGUAUAUUAGUGCAAAUGAAAUAAGAAAGAAAUAUAUUUAUGUCAGGCUUGAAUUGAGUGAAGGUGAUUCAUCCUCUUGGGAUAGGAUUUUAGUCUUGUAUGUAUAUAUAUAUUUUAUUGACAUAAACAAUGAGAAAAAUUGGUAGCAGA